rnacentral:misc_RNA from 1 species
CUAAGUUAGCUCACUUCUUGCCUGUGUGGACCACCUAUUCUAUUGCCCAAUACACCAGGCUCUAUAUUCCUGAAAUAGUCAGAUUACAUGGAGUUCCUGUAUCUAUAAUACCUAACAGGGGGCCCUAGUUCACUUCUCGGUUCUGAAGGAAGUUCUAGGAGGCACUUGGCACACAGUUAAACUUUAAUAUAACUUUCUACCCUCACACAGACAAGCAGUU